rnacentral:rRNA from 1 species
UGCCAGCCGCCGCGGUAAUACGGAGGGGGCGAACGUUGCUCGGAUUUACUGGGCGUAAAGCGACCGCAGGCGGUUAGUUUAGUCAGAUGUGAAAUCCCGGUGCUCAACGCCGGAACUGCAUUUGAAACUGGCUAACUAGAGUCAUCAAGAGGAGAUCGGAAUUACCAGUGUAGAGGUGAAAUUCGUAGAUAUUGGUAGGAACACCAGAGGCGAAGGCGGAUCUCUGGACUGAUACUGACGCUGAGGUGCGAAAGUGUGGGGAGCAAACAGGAUUAGAUA